rnacentral:rRNA from 1 species
AAUCUUCGGCAAUGGACGAAAGUCUGACCGAGCAACGCCGCGUGAGUGAUGAAGGUUUUCGGAUCGUAAAGCUCUGUUGCCAGGGAAGAAUAAGUGCGAUAGUAACUGAUCGCACGAUGACGGUACCUGAGAAGAAAGCCCCGGCUAACUACGUGCCAGCAGCCGCGGUAAUACGUAGGGGGCAAGCGUUGUCCGGAAUUAUUGGGCGUAAAGCGCGUGCAGGCGGCCGUUUAAGUCUGGUGUUUAAUCCCGGGGCUCAACCCCGGUACGCACUGGAAACUGGAUGGCUUGAGUGCAGGAGAGAAGAGCGGAAUUCCACGUGUAGCGGUGACAUGCGUAGAUAUGUGGAGGAACACCAGUGGCGAAGGCGGCUCUUUGGCCUGUAACUGACGCUGAGGCGCGAAAGCGUGGGGAGCAAACAG